CUGAGUGUGGCGUAAAACUAAACUCACUCACUCUACAGUCAUCUGGCUCUGUACCUGGCCUAUUUUAGGUGAUUUCAGACUGUUCUGUUGGACAAACGAUGAUGUGGAAUCCACUGUUUUAACACACUACUUGACAUGAAUUGAUGAAACCGAUGAAAUCUUGUGUUGAUAAUGAAAUCAAUGUAUGGUUAACAAUCA